rnacentral:rRNA from 1 species
UCAGGCCUAACACAUGCAAGUCGAGCGAGGACUUCGGUCCUAGCGGCGGACGGGUGAGUAACGCGUGGGAACGUGCCCUUUGCUUCGGAAUAGCCCCGGGAAACUGGGAGUAAUACCGGAUGAGCCCUACGGGGGAAAGAUUUAUCGGCGAAGGAUCGGCCCGCGUUGGAUUAGGUAGUUGGUGGGGUAAUGGCCUACCAAGCCGACGAUCCAUAGCUGGUUUGAGAGGAUGAUCAGCCACACUGGGACUGAGACACGGCCCAGACUCCUACGGGAGGCAGCAGUGGGGAAUCUUAGACAAUGGGGGAAACCCUGAUCUAGCCAUGCCGCGUGAGCGAAGAGAGGCCUUAGGGUUGUAAAGCUCUUCAGCUGGGAAGAUAAUGA